UGUCAUGGUGGGGAACAGAUGUAAAAUGACACAAAAGGAAAUGCCAGCUAUUCCCCACAAAAACAUUAAACCUGUCGAUCGAUAGUGACGUUGAAGGUGGGGUGUGUGCGUGCAUGUGUGAGGGAAGAAGUGAUCAAUGGCGGUACCCUCUCCUUUCCAGCGCACAGCAGCAGAUGGGGAGGGGGUGUGGGCUAGCGGGAUGAGUCACACGCAUAAUGAACUUGCCUGUUGUGCUAUUCAAUACAAAAAAAGGAAAAGGAAAACACAAACACACACAGCAAAGUAGGCUGGCUUUUAUCAAAACAGUCUACACAAGCAAACCGAAGACAAACUGGUCCUCUACUGGAGUGUGCAGCACUUGUCACAACAAUCUAUUGUCACAUCGUGAGGAAACUGCGGCCAAAAGAACAAAGAGAGCCUGCUACUCCGGCCACCAGAUGGGCAAAACAACUUCUUGAAAAUAUUUUGUGAUAAUGGGCUUGGCAUUUGCAAUGAUGAUUGACACCACACUUGGGGGUGAGUCAUUCACAUUGAUAUUUCAUACGGAGGGGUGUCAAAAAGAUCUCACCUAGACCAGGCCUGCCCGGAGAAAGCAGCAGACUGAAAUUAAGCCAGAACUCAAUGUGGGUCAUCUCAGUCUCUAAAUGCAGAGAUGAUACUUAAAAUAAAAGUAAUUACUGUA